UGUGGGAAUAUUGCACAAUGGGGGAAACCCUGAUGCAAGCAACGCCGCGUGAGUGAUGAAGGUCUUCGGGUUGUAAAGCUCUGUCUUCAGGGACGAUAAUGACGGUACCUGAGGAGGAAGCCACGCUAACUACCUGCCAGCAGCCGCGGGUAUAUAAAA
rnacentral:rRNA from 1 species